UCGGUGAAAUGCGUAGAUAUCGAGAGGAACACCUGCGGCGAAGGCGGGUUGCUGGGCUGACACUGACGCUGACAGCGCGAAAGCUAGGGGAGCGAACGGGAUUAGAUACCCCGGUAGUCCUAGCCUUAAACGAUGAAUGCUUGGUGUCUGGGGUUUUAUAGUCCCCGGGUGCCGUCGCUAACGCUUUAAGCAUUCCGCCUGGGGAGUACGGUCGCAAGACUGAAACUCAAAUGAAUUGACGG
rnacentral:rRNA from 1 species